UAAAUGUCACACUUUUUAAAUAAUAAAAAAAGGAAAGUAUUAUCAUAUUAUUACAUCCUCCAAACACCAACUUGUACUACAGUAUUCAUGACAUCAUUCCCCAUAUAUGGAAGACAUUCUAGAUAAAUGAAGAAAACUGCACCUGUAGUUACAUUCUAAGACGGUCGCAGAAUGAGGUAGAUGUCUAGGAACAAAAUAACUGACAGAUGUCUUGCUGGUGGCUUUGUUUUUAUUAUUUUACCCAUAAAAAGUAAAUGAAACCAUUUUUAUAUAUCCAUAUUUAUACCAAUGACUUUCAUGACAAACAUGUAAAACAAUGACCUGCAUUUCAAUUUAAUACGUAACUUUUAAAACAUGCAAACGUUUUCAAAAAUUUUGAUUUAGAUCUGUAGUUUUAAAUAAGAAGGGUCAAGUACGAAGCAUGCACUACGGAUGGAAACACUAUACAUGUAAUUUAAUUUAAAAAAAAAUAAAUGGACCUAGCUUUGUGCAUUGGUGCUCAGACAUCUUGGAACAGGAAGUGGCCAUCUCCAAACCGUUUACACAAAGAUGGGAGCAUGAACUUGCCCAAAAGUGUUGCACGAAAAACAACGGCAUUUCUUUAAUAGUGAAGACAUUCUAAAUAUUUUAAGCGUUUCUAAGUAGGUUAAACAUUCAUUGUUGUUUUGCUUUGUUUUACGGAGCAGACAAUGAGAGGGUUUAUUUGCUAACCUUAUUGGUCUGGUCAUAAGAUGUUGCAGAACCCCAAAUUUCAAGUCUCCUUCAUUAGAUCCACACUCACCAGUCUCAUUAGUAGGUAAACCAAUUGAAUUUCUCAUUAACACAGUUAUGUGUUAUUGAGAAUCAAUUGAGGAGCAACUCCACAUGUUCAGCCAUCUCAAUGUGGUAAAGAUGAGGAGUCAAAAACUGUGCAUCAGACUGGGGGGAAACAUUUGCGUGGCUAAAAAUCCCUGAAUAAUAUCAAUAGUUCAGAGCCAACAAGAGCUAAAAUAACAGCUUAAACAAACCAAGACACAAUAAGUAAUACCAACUGGAACAUGUAGAACCUUGAAGCAGACAGGCUACAGCAGCAGAAGACCAUCUCCACUCCCCCGUCUGUCAACUGAGGCUCAAAUUUGCGCCAAAACUGGACAAUCUCUGAUUGGAAAAAUGUGUCAGUCCAUGAGUCUCGAGUUCAGCAGGUGGUGGUGGUGUGAUGGUGAGGGGAAUGUUUUCUUUGGUACACUUCAGGCCACUCGGUACCAGCGGAGUAUUUUUUUUUUGAAUGCCAAAGCCUGUCUGAGUGUAGUUGCUGCCUAUACCCAUCCCUUAAUGUGUGAUCAUCUCAAACUGUUUGCAGUAAAUCUUGGCAAUGUGGAGGAAUGGAAAACAGAGAGAAUUAUGAAUAUGUAGCUAAAAGAGCUGUUAUUAUGGUGAUAAGGACAGGAAUCUCUGAGGAAUUCUUCAGAGGCCAUGCAGAAACAAUGCCACAAAGACAUUUCUGAAUGCCCAAUGAAUGCAAUUGGUCUAAAGGUGGGUUAUGAUUGCCGUUUCUCAAAGAGAACAACUGGUUGUCUUCUGCUGACAACAAAAUGCGCUCAGGACUAUAUUUAAACUGGAAUAGGUUAAAAAAAAACCUUCCAGGAAGACAGUACAGCCAACACACUGUCGCUAUGCAUCUACACCUCUCCCGGCCGAACAGCUGGGUGCGCAGACACCUCCUUCCCCCUGCUGCUUUGACAAGGUUGUCGUGUGCCGAUAGCGGGCAACUAACUUCUGCAACCUCUCAGCUUCUAAAUCCAGAGCGGAUUCCUCUUGCCCGUCUCGCAGCCGCUCGCUCUCCAGCGAGGGAGAGAAACCCGAUUGGCUGCUGGGAGUCCUCCGUCUUCCACAAAUGGAGAUCUGAACGGUUUCGAGGGAUAAUCAUCGUAAUGGCUCGAGUGUUUCCCCCUUGAGUAUGUGUGAACAGUGAGGCCAGCCAUCUGCUGGCAGGUUGGCACGAUGAUGGAGUACUAUAUGUGUAGGCGAAGAGGAGGAGAGGGGCAUUCAGGAUGAGCAUGGUAAACACACAGGAGAUAGCCAACAGCGGGCUCACUUCAUUUUCACCCAGGGUCCUCUUUGCAUUCGCGGUCAAAUGAGCAAUCCAUUGCAAACACUAUCGUGGCACACUGGCCCUUCAGAUAAUGGACACAAACAGGCCUGUCCGCCUGUGUCCGCCGCCUGUCUCUGCCGACAGGCGGCGGAGGAGAAAGAUAAAUGGGCAGAAGAAAGUUCACUGUGAACACAUUCAUGAAAAGAAUCUGUUCCAGACUCAAAUAUGCAAACUUUGAAACUUUUAAAAGACAAAUGUGGACAGAUGGAUAAAUGAAUGGAUUGAUGGAUGGAGCAAAAAAGACGAGUGUCUUCAGAGAGAAUGUUAAGGACACGUUUUAUUGGAACAACAAAUAAAUUAAGAGGCUCUUAAUUUAUCCAUGCUUGGUUUUUCUCUUUGUGCUUGUUGGCUGUGG